rnacentral:rRNA from 1 species
AGAUACGAAAGGUUAACUUCGGUACAUCGGUGACAGUGGUGCAUGGUUGUCGUCAGCUCGUGUCGUGAGAUGUUGGGUUAAGUCCCGCAACGAGCGCAACCCCUAUUGUUAGUUUGCCAUCAUUCAGUUGGGCACUCUAGCGAGACUGCCGGUAUAAACCGGAGGAAGGUGGGAUGACGUCAAAUCAUCAUGCCCCUUAUGACCUGGGCUACACACGUGCUACAAUGGUUGGUACAACGAGUUGCGAGUCGGUGACGGCGAGCUAAUCUCUUAAAAGCCAAUCUCAGUUCGGAUUGUAGGCUGCAACUCGCCUACAUGAAGUCGGAAUCGCUAGUAAUCGUGGAUCAGCAUGUCACGGUGAAUACGUUCCCGGGUCUU